ensembl:ncRNA Y48B6A.20 ncRNA
AAGCCUAAGCCUAAGCCUAACCCUGAGCAUAUGCCUAAGCCUAAGCCGAAGCCUAAGCCUAAGCCUAACCCUGAGCAUAUGCCUAAGCCUAAGCCGAAGCCUAAGCCUAAGCCUAAACCUAAGCAUAAGCCUAAG